AGUUUUGGUAAGGUAGAAGAAAUAUUUUAAAAAAGCAGAACUCUGAGGUUAAAAUUAUGGUCAGAAUGCUUCACUACUCCAUGUGUGGAGGUAGUGGGAACACUAAGCCAACUAGUGUUAAACACUACCGUUGACUUCUCAGUUUUACUAAUUGGUGGCUGACCUGAACUUAGCACAUUCUGUGUUAGAUUGCUCAACCUGUCUGCUCUGCAGAAAGCCGCCUCCUUAACCACUACUUGCUUUCUUUUUUCGAGUUAGUCUACACCCAAAGCCACCGUCAGAUGUCACAGGGAUGAGACUUCACAAGGAGUCCUUGAUGCUCUGUGGUUGUUACUUCUCACCUUUCGGGGGUUCUGAAGAAACACUGUGAAGUUGAUUCCUGACUGCUUGGGCCUUUUCUAUUCACUAGGGCCCAUAAGGCUCCUGAGCCAGGGAAGUGUACCCGGGAGGAUGACAGCAUUGAUUAAUGGUUCUUACAAUCCCCAGCUCCCACAUACUUCAUAUUUCCUCCUUCUGGUGAAAAAAUACAAAAGCUCUAAUGCAUUUCAACUUGUCCAAAUGGGCCCUCAGUGUGGAAGAUGACUUUAGUUUCUCAAACAGAGAGAAAGGAUGGGGGCAGUGGGAGAGAAUCUUCCAGACAG